rnacentral:lncRNA from 1 species
UGGUCUCUCCUCAUAUGGGACCCAUUGACAAAUAAAAGGAGUUGAAGAGUCCGUCAAGGACUCUAACAUCCUUUUUGAAAAAAGUCAAGAUGGUGCACGAUAACUCAUGAGGCGUGGAACCUUUUGAUGCAUAGAAAAUGAGUCCGUAAAGAACUCUAAUUUUUAUCUUAUAAAAGCAGGGGGCUUGUGGACGUGAAAAGGGUGAACAGAACACCAAUAAAAAAGAGAGGAUGUCAUAAGCCACCAAAAAAGGAGAUAGGGAGAGAAACUUGGAGGGUGCUUUAUUCAAGUAAAGAAGAUCGGAGAAUGUUGAUUAGAGGAGUUCGCUCAAUCUUGGAUUAGAGUUAUUCUAUCGAGG